AUUGUUUCCAGCAGGCAGGUGGAGGAGGUGACGCUGCAGGUGGAGGAGGUGGAGCUGCAGGUGGAGGAGAUCUCCGUUCGGUGGCUCAGAUCCCACACAGCUUCACAUCUGAUGAACUCAGCCACACCAAUGGGAAUAAAUCAAGAGAGAAGUAGAAUUAUUUUCUCAUAGACUUCUAUUGGAGCAGAGGAGUCGCCCCCCGCUGGGCAACGGCGUGUUGUGAGGCUGUUUGGCGGUUUGUGAUGUAAUGAUUACACGCCCCUCGUUUAGUAUCGAUGACGCAGCCAGACGAGACUUUCACACAAACAGUGAAAAGAAAAAAGCUGCUCUCUCUCAACGACGUUGUUCUGAUGGAGAAGUAGAAUCCACCUGACUCAUGCCAGUGAAGUAAAAACAUCUGCAUUGUGACAUCUGGAGAAAAAAACAGUCAUCGAGCAACAAUUCUCUCGUCUCAGGAAUCAGC
ensembl:lncRNA